GACGGAGGGGGCGAGCGUUGUUCGGAAUGACUGGGCGUAAAGGGCGCGUAGGCGGUUUGCCAAGUCAGGCGUGAAAGCCCCGGGCUCAACCUGGGAACGGCGCUUGAGACGGGCGAACUGGAGAUCGGGAGAGGUGAGUGGAAUUCCCAGUGGAGAGGUGAAAUUCGUAGAGAUUGGGAAGAACACCAGCGGCGAAGGCGGCUCACUGGACCGACACUGACGCUGAGGCGCGACAGCGUGGGGAGCAAACAGGAUUAGAAACCCGUGUAGUCC
rnacentral:rRNA from 1 species